rnacentral:rRNA from 1 species
GACGAACGCUGGCGGCGUGCUUAACACAUGCAAGUCGAACGGAAAGGCCCUGCUUUUGUGGGGUGCUCGAGUGGCGAACGGGUGAGUAACACGUGAGUAACCUGCCCUUGACUUUGGGAUAACUUCAGGAAACUGGGGCUAAUACCGGAUAGGAGCUCCUGCUGCAUGGUGGGGGUUGGAAAGUUUCGGCGGUUGGGGAUGGACUCGCGGCUUAUCAGCUUGUUGGUGGGGUAGUGGCUUACCAAGGCUUUGACGGGUAGCCGGCCUGGGCGGGUGACCGGCCACAUUGGGACUGGGAUGCGACCCAGACUCCUACGGGAGGCAGAAGUGGGGAAUAUUGUACAAUGGGCGGAAGCCUGAUGCAGCAACGCCGCGUGCGGGAUGACGGCCUGCGGGUUGUAAACCGCUUUCGCCUGGGACGAAGCGUGAGUGACGGUAAUGGGUAAAGAAGCACCGGCUAACUACGUG